GAUCAUGGCUCAGGAUGAACGCUAGCGGCAGGCUUAACACAUGCAAGUCGAGGGGCAGCAUAAUGGUAGCAAUACUAUUGAUGGCGACCGGCGGACGGGUGCGUAACGCGUAUGCAACCUACCCUUUACAGGGGGAUAACACUGAGAAAUCGGUACUAAUACCCCAUAAUAUUCCGGGAGGCAUCUUUCGGAGUUGAAAGCUUUGGUGGUAAAGGAUGGGCACGCGUUGUAUUAGCUAGUUGGUAAGGUAACCGG
rnacentral:rRNA from 1 species